GCCAUCCCAGUUCGGAUCGCAGGCUGCAACCCGCCUGCGUGAAGUUGGAAUCGCUAGUAAUCGCGGAUCAGCAUGCCGCGGUGAAUACGUUCCCGGGCCUUGUACACACCGCCCGUCACACCAUGAGAGUCGGGAACACCCGAAGUCCGUAGCCUAACCGCAAGGGGGCGCGGCCGAAGGUGGGUUCGAUAAUUGGGGUGAAGUCGUAACAAGGUAUC
rnacentral:rRNA from 1 species